rnacentral:rRNA from 1 species
AUGGAAAGUGUUCAAUUAGAACAUGAAAACAUGACUCAAUUGGUCUUAGCUAGUCUUCGGGACGGAGUGGAAGAAGGGCGGAGACUCUCGAACAAGGAAAAGGAUCCCUUCGAAAGAAUUGACCGAGGAGCCGUAUGA